rnacentral:rRNA from 1 species
UGCGAACUCCUACGGGAGGCAGCAGUGAGGAAUAUUGGUCAAUGGGCGAGAGCCUGAACCAGCCAAGUAGCGUGCAGGAUGACGGCCCUAUGGGUUGUAAACUGCUUUUAUGCGGGGAUAAAGUGAGGGACGUGUCCUUCAUUGCAGGUACCGCAUGAAUAAGGACCGGCUAAUUCCGUGCCAGCAGCCGCGGUAAUACGGAAGGUCCGGGCGUUAUCCGGAUUUAUUGGGUUUAAAGGGAGCGUAGGCCGUGGAUUAAGCGUGUUGUGAAAUGCAGGUGCUCAACGUCUGCACUGCAGCGCGAACUGGUUCACUUGAGUGUGCGCAACGCAGGCGGAAUUCGUCGUGUAGCGGUGAAAUGCUUAGAUAUGACGAAGAACUCCGAUUGCGAAGGCAGCUUGCGGGAGCACAACUGACGCUGAAGCUCGAAAGUGCGGGUAUCGAACAGGAUUAGAUACCCUUGUAGUCCU